rnacentral:rRNA from 1 species
AGCGAACGCUGGCGGCAGGCUUAACACAUGCAAGUCGAACGGGCUUCUUCGGAAGUCAGUGGCAGACGGGUGAGUAACCCGUGGGAACGUGCCCUUCGGUUCGGAAUAACUCAGGGAAACUUGAGCUAAUACCGGAUACGCCCUUUUGGGGAAAGGUUUACUGCCGAAGGAUCGGCCCGCGUCUGAUUAGCUUGUUGGUGGGGUAACGGCCUACCAAGGCGACGAUCAGUAGCUGGUCUGAGAGGAUGAUCAGCCACACUGGGACUGAGACACGGCCCAGACUCCUACGGGAGGCAGCAGUGGGGAAUAUUGGACAAUGGGCGCAAGCCUGAUCCAGCCAUGCCGCGUGAGUGAUGAAGGCCUUAGGGUUGUAAAGCUCUUUUGUCCGGGACGAUAAUGACGGUACCGGAAGAAUAAGCCCCGGCUAACUUCGUG